rnacentral:lncRNA from 1 species
GGAGUCCCGUAACUGCAUCUUGCGCACAAAGGCGGACUGGGUUCAGCAGCGAACCCCACCAGAGCACACCGAUCCCGAUGGCGCGGAAGGUGCUCUGCUAGCGGCAACGAAGAUGGAUAUUUAGUGCAAACACUGGGAGACCGACUGCCUCGAACAUUCCAAAGAGGACCUUCAGUGGGCAGAGUAGGUGGGCGAGGCUUCUGCUGCUGAAGGUCGCGGAGCCCUUCCGUUUGCCUCUCUCCCGGAUGCUUCUCCUCCUGUUUGCGCUUGCGGAAGGGGUGAAGUCAACACCCUUUUGUGUGAAAUGUGGGAUAGUUAAACCAUAUCGCAUUCUUAUCCUCGUCUGCACUUUCAGUGGUUCUGCCCUUCUGUGGUGGGCCUUCAGCCUCUCCACCUGGGUGAGGAUAGAAAUCCCAAGUGGCUCCCAAGUCCUUUUCAGCGCUCUUUUUGCAAUAUGCAGUGGUGAGAUCAAGUGUUGGAUUCCACUAUCAAAAUCAAGUAUCUGUGUGUUCCUUGCAUUACUGCUGCACUCUCUGCAUGUUUUGAAAGUAACCAACUUAUGCAAGGAUGCGAAAAUCACCUUUCUCUACCCUACUUUCAUCCUUUCAUUCAGCGCCAUACUAUUUUUCUUAUCUGGAAUCCUCUGCUUAUUCAGCUCCCAUCAUUGUUGGCUUCAGUGCGUCUUACAGCAACCAAUCCAAGUGAAACCUAUGCAAAUGUCAGUGGUCAGUGGGAACUCAGCAAUGGUCACAGAAAGGACACCGGGUAGAGAUGGCUAGCCUAACCUCAGUGGUGGUGAGAAAGCUGAUUUUAGAAGAAACAUGUCUCACCUGUAAUUCAAGAUUUCACAGCUAUACACACACUCAUUUAAUUACUGCAUAAGACUGGAAAGAGUUGGCUGGUUACUAAUCAUUGUUCAAGAUAUGGCUUAGGAUUCCGGGGACUUAGAUAUUCAUAAGAGAGAAAACACAGUUGGGGUGUGGGGAAGUUGAGUGUUUGGCUCUUGGGGACUUGAAAUGAAAAAAACUUCUCUUCACCUUGAAGAUUCUUCUCUUGGCACCCAUUUCCCAACCCUCUUGCUGGUAUGCCUGGUCUCCUGGCAGUGGUUUUUUUUAGCAGUAACAAAACUCUCUCUCCACUAUAAAGCCUGAGUUUGAUAAAAACAAAUUUUUUUUCUGCUCUCUGGGAAUUUCAUGAGUGGAAUCUUUUCACUACUGUGUUAUUCGGGACUCUUUUUUUUUUUUUUUUUUUGCAUGUAACAAACCUUAUCCAAACUACCUUCAACAAAAAUUGAAUUUAUUGGAUGCAGGGGUUACCUCAUAGACUCAAAAAAGUUCUGGUAGAAUCAGGGCUACAUGAGAGAGUUGGGGAGCUGGAAUCUUGAGAUCAUUUCCUCAGGAUACUAUUUUUUUAAACUAUCCACUGAAGGUUAAUGGAAUUUCUCAAUCCUUAAAAUGGAAGCACUAUCCUAAAUUCCUCUUGCUCAUCACUUUCAAUGAAUCACCAAAGCUUGUCCUUUCCACCUCAACAAGACUUCCGUUCCCCUCCCUGAGCCCUCCUCACUGGUCAUCGUGACCAGGUCUUUGUCAUCCCUGCCCAGACUGUGUCGUCUCUGAAUGUGGCUUGUCCCCCACUGUGGCCUACCUCUGCGAAGCUGCCCAGCUCGAGCUUCCUAAAAUACAGAGAUGAGAAUGUGCUCCUUAAAAGCCUAUUUUGCCUUCUUCUGGCCUUCAGGAUAAAUUCCUUAUCUUGAUAAAUAAAGUUAUUUACAAGUUGGCAUCAAC